rnacentral:rRNA from 1 species
UUAGGAAUAUUCGGCAAUGGAGGAAACUCUGACCGAGCAAUGCCGCGUGAGUGAUGAAGGCCCUUUGGGUCGUAAAACUCUGUUGUAGGGGAAGAACAACCAUUAUAGGAAAUGAUAAUGGUCUGACGGUACCCUGCCAGAAAGCCCCGGCUAACUACGUGCCAGCAGCCGCGGUAAUACGUAGGGGGCGAGCGUUAUCCGGAUUUAUUGGGCGUAAAGCGUGUGUAGGCGGUUUAUUAAGUUUAAGAUUAAAGCCCGAGGCUUAACCUCGGUUCGUCUUAAAAACUGGUAGACUCGAGUGUGGUAGAGGCAAGUGGAAUUUCUAGUGUAGCGGUUAAAUGCGUAGAUAUUAGAAGGAACACCGGUGGCGAAGGCGACUUGCUGGGCCAUUACUGACGCU